rnacentral:rRNA from 1 species
UGAGGGAAUAUUGGGCCAAUGGGGCGCAGGCCUGAACCAGCCAAGUCGCGUGAGGGAUGACGGUCCUACGGAUUGUAAACCUCUUUUGUCGGGGAGUAACGUGCGGGACGCGUCCCGUAUUGAGAGUACCCGAAGAAAAAGCAUCGGCUAACUCCGUGCCAGCAGCCGCGGUAAUACGGAGGAUGCGAGCGUUAUCCGGAUUUAUGGGUUUAAAGGGUGCGCAGGCGGCGCGCCAAGUCAGCGGUCAAAGUUCCGGGCUCAACCCGGUGUCGCCGUUGAAACUGGCGUGCUCGAGUGCGUGCGAGGAAGGCGGAAUGCGUUGUGUAGCGGUGAAAUGCGUAGAUAUUAGGAGGAACACCAGUGGCGAAGGCGGCCAACUGGGGCUUUUACUGACG